GCCUGUAGUCCCAGCUACUCGGGAGGCUGGUGGGAGGAUUGCUUGAGCGCAGGAGUUCUGGGCUGUAGUACGCUAUGCCGAUCGGGUGUCCACACUAAGUUCAGCAUCAAUAUGGUGACCUCCCGGGAGCAGGGAACCACCAGGUUGCCUAAGGAGGGGUGAACUGGCCCAGGUCAGAAAUGGAGCAGGUCAAAACACUGGUGCUGAUCAGUAGUAGGAUCGCGCCUGUGAAUAGCAACUGCACUCCAGCCUAGGCAACAUAGUGAGACCCUGUCUCU
rnacentral:SRP_RNA from 1 species